rnacentral:rRNA from 1 species
UACGAAGGGGGCUAGCGUUGCUCGGAAUCACUGGGCGUAAAGGGUGCGUAGGCGGGUCUUUAAGUCCGGGGUGAAAUCCUGGAGCUCAACUCCAGAACUGCCUUUGAUACUGAAGAUCUUGAGUUCGGGAGAGGUGAGUGGAACUGCGAGUGUAGAGGUGAAAUUCGUAGAUAUUCGCAAGAACACCAGUGGCGAAGGCGGCUCACUGGCCCGAUACUGACGCUGAGGCACGAAAGCGUGGGGAGCGAACAGG